rnacentral:rRNA from 1 species
CACGUGGGUGGCGAGCGUUAUUCGGAUUUACUGGGCGUAAAGGGUCCGCAGGGGGCCUGCCACGCCUGCCGUGAAAUUCCAAGGCUCAACCUUGGACCUGCGGCGGGUACGGGCGGGCUAGAGUGCAAGAAGGGCAGACGGAAUUCCAGGUGUAGCGGUGGAAUGCGUAGAUAUCUGGAAGAACACCGAUGGCGAAGGCGGUCUGCUGGCUUGUAACUGACCCUCAGGGACGAGAGCGUGGGUAGCAAACAGGAUUAGAUACCCUGGUAGUCCACGCCGUAAACGUUGUGUGCCAGAUGUGGGUGGGUUCGGCCCCAUCCGUGUCCAAGCUAACGCGGUAAGCACACCGCCUGGGGACUACGGCCGCAAGGCUAAAACUCAAAGGAAUUGACGGGGGCCCGCACAAGCGGUGGAGCAUGUUGCUUAAUUCGAGGCAACGCGAAGAACCUUACCCAGGUUUGACAUGCUUUCGACCGGCGUUGAAAGACGCCUUUCCUUCGGGACGGAAGCACAGAUGCUGCAUGGCU